rnacentral:misc_RNA from 1 species
CAGAGUUGCAAAACUCCCAAACCCUUUGUGAACCUACCUUCAACGUUGCUUCGGCAGGCGGCCCCAGGGCGGGGUUGCAGCCUUCACAGGUGCCUGCCGGAGGCCUUUUUAAACUCUAUUUUUUAGUGGUACACUUCUGAGUAAAAAAACAAAAUAAGUCA